GAUGAACGCUGGCGGCGUGCCUAAUACAUGCAAGUCGAGCGAACAGACGAGGAGCUUGCUCCUCUGACGUUAGCGGCGGACGGGUGAGUAACACGUGGAUAACCUACCUAUAAGACUGGGAUAACUUCGGGAAACCGGAGCUAAUACCGGAUAAUAUAUUGAACCGCAUGGUUCAAUAGUGAAAGACGGUUUUGCUGUCACUUAUAGAUGGAUCCGCGCCGCAUUAGCUAGUUGGUAAGGUAACGGCUUACCAAGGCAACGAUGCGUAGCCGACCUGAGAGGGUGAUCGGCCACACGGGAACUGAGACACGGUCCAGACUCCUACGGGAGGCAGCAGUAGGGAAUCGGCCGCAAUGGGCGAAAGCCUGACGGAGCAACGGCGCGUGAGUGAUGGAGGUCUUCGGAUCGUAAAAAUCUGUUAUUAGGGAAGAACAAAUGUGUAAGUAACUAUGCACGUCUUGACGGUACCUAAUCAGAAAGCCACGGCUAACUACGUG
rnacentral:rRNA from 1 species